rnacentral:misc_RNA from 1 species
UCUCCGUUGGUGAACCAGCGGAGGGAUCAUUACAGAGUUGCAAAACUCCAACCCCUGUGAAUCUUACCAAAUGUUGCUUCGGCGGCCGAGCCCUGGCGAGGCCGCCGGAGGUCUAAACUCUUACCAUUUUGUACGUCUGAGGAAAAAACAAUAAUCAAAACUUUCAACAACGGAUCUCUUGGUUCUG